rnacentral:rRNA from 1 species
CAGCGGAGGAUCAUUACAGAGAUCAUGCCCUCACGGGUAGACCUCCCACCCUGUAUAAUUUACUCUUGUUGCUUUGGCAGGCCGCCUUCGGGCCCCCGGCAGUUUUGCUGGGGAGCGCCUGCCAGAGGACCCCAACUCUUAUAUUUAAUGUCGUCUGAGAACUAUAUAAUAAGUUAAAACUUUCAACAACGGAUCUCUUGGUUCUGGCAUCGAUGAAGAACGCAGCGAAAUGCGAUAAGUAAUGUGAAUUGCAGAAUUCAGUGAAUCAUCGAAUCUUUGAACGCACAUUGCGCCCCUUGGUAUUCCGGGGGGCAUGCCUGUUCGAGCGUCAUUUCAACCCUCAAGCUUAGCUUGGUCUUGGGCUCUGCCGGCAACGGCUGGCCUUAAAAUCAGUGGCGGUGCCAUCGAGCUCUACGCGUAGUAAUUAAACCCUCGCGUGUGAGUCCCGGUGAACGCUUGCCAGUAACCCCUAUUUUCUAUGGUUGACCUCGGAUCAGGUAGGGAUACCCGCUGAACUUAAGCAUAUCAAU